CAGAAGUCCCGCAGCGACUCCCGCGUCCGCUUCCACGGCGCGCGCUGUUUCCCAAAUCCCCGGCGCCACGUCGCUGGAAACCAGCCUUCAGACUUUGGGGAAGUUGGGCAGAACUGCUCGAUUUAGCAAAUAAGAGAGAAUGAGAUACAGAGAGCAUGAGAGGGAGGAGCAGACUCCCUGCCGAGCAGGGAGCCCGAUGCAGGACUCGAUGCGGGACUCAAUGCGGGACUCGAUGCGGGACUCGAUCCCGGGACUCCAGGAUCAUGACCUGAGCCGAAGGCAGUCGCUUAACCAACUGAGCCACCCAGGCGCCCCAAAAGAAAGUCACGAAAGGAUACAACAAGAAGGCAGCUAUCUGCCAGCCAAGAAGAGAGCCCUCACUGGAGACUGCACCCUAUCAGACCUGAUCUUGGACUUUCCAGCCUCCAGAACUGUGAGAUAAUAAAUUUCUGUUGGUUAAGCCACCCAGCCUAUGCUCUUUUGUCAUGACAGCUUGAGUAGACUGAUACAGGGGCCCUAAUGGAUGGGACCGCAGGAUUCAGGUUGUCAUGAUUCAUCAUGAGGCAUCCCUUAUAUUUUCCAGGUUUAAGAACAGGCAAAAUUGGAAUGUCACACAAAAAAGUAGUGGGGAUAAUCAGUCCUUUAUUAAUUAGGUUUUAUAUAAUGAGUUUUAAUCCUCUAAGGCCCUGUUUUAGCUUACAUUAGGAUAUAUUAACGAUUUUAACUGGGGUCCAUAGGUUCCCAUUUUAUCAAGCCAAUUUGUAAAUCCCAAAGAUUUUAUGGGCAUCUAUGCCUAAUAUGCCUAAUAUGGGAUAUUUUAGGGCAAUGGGUACAACAACUAUGGAAAAUUUAGGCAAGGCUACAGUGAAAGUGAAACAUACCUAUUUCCCCUCUAUAAUUUGGUUAAUAUCCUAAUAUUAUAGUAAAUACGAUGCUUAUAUUUAGCAGCAUCCCCAGGUAUAACAAAUAAUUUGAGACCCAGUGUUGAUGAAGUCCACAAAGUUUUGUCAGUUGGUGCAUUUUAGCAAAUACUAAAGUUAAUUUAGAACCUAUAUUCAAAAGAAAAUCAGCACCCUUUUUAUUUUAUAAAUCAUUUUAGUAUAGAAAUUUUGGACUUUCAAUUGGGUCAAAUCAUGGGACUCUGUUUUAAUAGUUAUACAUACACAUAUGUAAUUU